AAGGGCACCACAAGAACGCGUGGAGCAUGUGGCUUAAUUUGACUCAACGCAGGAAAUCUUACCGGGUCCGGACACACUGAGGAUUGACAGAUAACGUGCUGUUAUACGGUGCAAAAUAUGAUAGCUCUUUCAUAAUUAUGUGAUAGGUGGUGCAUGGCCGUUCUUAGUUCGUGGAGUGAUCUGUCUGCUUAAUUGCGUUGGUAUAUAUAAUGCAUGUUAAUUGCAUUUUUACCAUGCAACGAACGUGACCGCAACCUCUUGUUGCACUAUAGCUUCUCAUGGUGCAAAACUAGAGGGACCGCUGUAUUUAUUUCUUUUAGCCAGAGGAAGGAUGCGGCAAUAACAGGUCUGUGAUGCCCUCAGAUGUCCCGGGCUGCACACGUGCUACAAUGAUUAUUGCACUGCGUAUCUUCUAACGCGGCGAUUUAAUUAAUUUAAAAUCACCGCGACACCCGUGUCGAUAGGCUAUACGGGUAACCCUUUAGAAGUAAUGAUUUCCAAAAAUACUAUAUACUAUAUAGUAUUUAUAUCAACUCAUGGUGGGGACAGACCAUUGAUAAUUGUUGGUCUCGGUCACAACUAGGAAUGCCUUGUACGAGUUGGUUCAUUAAACCACUCGGAAUACGUCCCUGCCCUUUGUACACACCGCCCGUCGCUCUUACCGAUGGAUUUUGCUGUGAGUUUGAGGGACUGACGCUUGCGUUAUAGAAACUUAAACAAACAGUGUGAUCUAAAGGAAAGAGAAGUCGAACAAGGCA
rnacentral:rRNA from 1 species